rnacentral:rRNA from 1 species
AUACGGAGGGGACAAGCGUUAUUCGGAAUCACUGGGCGUAAAGGACGCGUAGGCGGGUUAUUAAGUCGGGUGUGAAAUCCAAUGGCUCAACCAUUGAACUGCAUUCGAAACUGAUAACCUCGAGUAUGGAAGGGGCAGGUGGAAUUAGUGGUGUAGGGGUAAAAUCCGUAGAUAUCACUAGGAAUACCGAAAGCGAAGGCGACCUGCUGGGACAUUACUGACGCUGAGGCGUGAAAGCGUGGGGAGCAAACAGGAUUAGAAACCCGAGUAGUCC